AUUGAACGCUGGCGGCAUGCCUUACACAUGCAAGUCGAACGGCAGCACGGGUGCUUGCACCUGGUGGCGAGUGGCGAACGGGUGAGUAAUACAUCGGAACGUAUCUUAUCGUGGGGGAUAACGCAGCGAAGGCUGUGCUAAUACCGCAUACGCCCUGAGGGGGAAAGCGGGGGAUCGCAAGACCUCGCGCGAUUAGAGCGGCCGAUGCCUGAUUAGCUUGUUGGUGGGGUAAAAGCCCACCAAGGCGACGAUCAGUAGCUGGUCUGAGAGGACGAUCAGCCACACUGGGACUGAGACACGGCCCAGACUCCUACGGGAGGCAGCAGUGGGGAAUUUUGGACAAUGGGGGCAACCCUGAUCCAGCAAUGCCGCGUGAGUGAAGAAGGCCUUCGGGUUGUAAAGCUCUUUUGUCAGGGAAGAAACACCGGCUCUAACACAGUCUGGGAAUGACGGUACCUGAAGAAUAAGCACCGGCUAACUACGUGCCAGCCGCCGCCGUAA
rnacentral:rRNA from 1 species